AUUGAACGCUGGCGGCAGGCCUAACACAUGCAAGUCGAGCGGAGCGGCGGACGGGUGAGGAAGGCCUAGGGAUCUGCCUGGUAGUGAGGGAUAAAGUACGGGAACGGGAGCUAAUACAGCAUACUAUAAGCUGAGCCUCGGUCGGAUUAGCUAGUUGGUGGGGUAAAGGCCUACCAAGGCGACGAUCCGUAACUGGUCUGAGAGGAUGAUCAGUCACACUGGAACUGAGACACGGUCCAGACUCCUACGGGAGGCAGCAGUGGGGAAUAUUGGACAAUGGGCGAAAGCCUGAUCCAGCCAUGCCGCGUGUGUGAAGAAGGUCUUCGGAUUGUAAAGCACUGUUAGUUGGGAGGCGGUACCAACAGAAUAAGCACCGGCUAACUUCGUGCCAGCAGCCGCGGUAAUUC
rnacentral:rRNA from 1 species